AGACAGCGCUAUCGCGCUUCCUCAGCCCGAACGGCAUCGAAGUAACGACUGGAUAAAACAAGCUUCUUAUCCGAAAAUCACG
rnacentral:ncRNA from 1 species